CUCAGCUCAGCAAAAUGGAAACUCCACUGUAGAUGUGUGCAUCUUCCCCAGCCCCCAGUCAGAAAACUGUCUUCUUGGGAUGGACAGGACAUCAGCAUCUCUCAUUUUGCCUUCAGCUAGCUGUUGUAAGGCUCCCUUCCAGGCUCGUUGCUCUCGUGCCGUUUACCUCAGGCUGAGAGUUACACCAUCAGCUAUCCUGGUUCUGAAGCCAUGCUACUGGCAUCCUAGGCUCUACAACUCACAGACAGCCUGUCAUGGAACUUCUCAGCCUCCAUAAUUGUGUGAGCCAAUUCCCUUAUAACAUAGUUUUGAUAUUUGUCCCCACCCACAUCUCAUGUUGAAUUGUAAUUCCCAAUGUUGGAGGUGGGGCAUGGUGAGAGGUAUUUGGGAUCAUUGGGGUGGAUCUCACAUGAAUGGCUUCAGCCAUCCUUUUGGUGACAAGUGAGCUCUUGCUCUGAGUUCACAUGAGAUCUGGUUAUUUAAAAGUGUGUGGCGCUUCCAUCCCCUACUCUCUCUUGCUCCUGCUCUGGCCAUGUGACAUGCCUGCUCUCCCUUCACCUUCUGCCAUGAUUGUAAGCUUCCUGAGGCUUCCUCAGAAGCUGAGCUGAUGCCAGCACCAUGCUUCCUGUAAAUCCUGCAGAACCAUGAGCCAAUUAAACCUCUUUUCUUCAUCAAUUACACAGUCUCAGGUAUUUCUUUAUAGCAAUGCAAGAAUGAUAACACACUGUAAUAAAUCUCCCUCAUAUAUCUAUAUCUAUAUCUACGUCUAUAAUCUCCUAGUGGUUUUGUCGCUCUGGGGAGCUCUAAUUCAAUUAUCAAUAUUUGUUUCUGUUUUUAUUUCAACCCUUUCCAUUUGAUUCUUCUUAUAGUUUCCAUCUUUCUUCUGAAAUUACCCAUCUGAUUUUGUAUGCUGUGCAUCUUUUCCAUUAAAGCCUUAUAAGCUCAGAAAUGGGCAUAACUUUUUUU
rnacentral:lncRNA from 1 species